UACGAACGCUGGCGGCGUGCCUAAUACAUGCAAGUCGAGCGGACAGAAGGGAGCUUGCUCCCGGAAGUUAGCGGCGGACGGGUGAGUAACACGUGGGCAACCUACCCUGUAGAUCGGGAUAACAUCGAGAAAUCGGUGCUAAUACCGGAUAAUCAUUUGAAGUGCAUGCUUCGAAUGUAAAAGAUGGCUCCGGCUAUCACUACGGGAUGGGCCCGCGGCGCAUUAGCUUGUUGGUAAGGUAAUGGCUUACCAAGGAAACGACGCGUAGCCGACCGGAGAGGGAGCGCGGGUACACUGGGACAGGUACACGGCCCAGACCCCUACUGGAGGCAGCAGUAGGGAGUCUACCGCAGUGGACGAACGUCGGACGGAGCAACGCCGCGGGAGAGAUGAAGGUUUUCGGAUCGUAAAGCUCUGUUGUUAGUGAAGAACAAGUGCCGUUUGAAUAAGGCGGCACCUUGACGGUACCUAACCAGAAAGCCACGGCUAACUACGUGCCAGCAGCCGCGGUAAAAC
rnacentral:rRNA from 1 species